CAGUGGUUAUGGCCAGUGAGAAUGUGCGGUGUUGCAUUGCAGAAGAAGCUAGGAAAGCUCAUCUGGCCUCCUGUUCCAGUGCUUCCAGGGGAUCCACGUUCAGAAGCUGACUCUGCAGGCAAGACCGACGUUAUUUUCCUGGUGGCUGUGUUCAAAACCACCCAAAGAGACUGGUGAACUAGAGAAUGCUGAGUCUGGAGGAGACGGAGGCAGGAGAGGAGGGAAGCAGGAUAACGUUGCCUGGUGGAGGCGGAUGCAGAAGGGGGGACUUCCCCUGGGAUGACGAGGAUUUCCGCAGUCUGGCCCUUUUGGGGGCAGGCGUUGCCAUGGGAUUUUUCUACCUCUAUUUUCGAGAUCCUGGAAGAGAAAUCACGUGGAAGCACUUUGUACAGUAUUA
rnacentral:lncRNA from 1 species